UGUGGGCUCUAAGGAUUGAAUUUGGGACAUUAGACUUGGAAAGUGAUCUUACUGAUCUUAUGGACUGAGCCACCUCCCCAGGCCCAAGCUUGCGGAUUUUACAAAGAUUUAAAUGACAAUUUUCUAAGCUGUGUCCAUUACCAGUACAGAAAAAGAAAGACACAUGUUCUAUUCUACAUGCAAAAGAACCCAGCUCAGCCUGAACUGACAGCCCCUCAUCCUCGGGAAGCAGGAGCUGGCCAGAGGUGAAGACCUCUGAGUCCUGUGUAGAGAUAGUUUAGAAGUUCAUUCCAAGAGGAAUGGGUUACUUGGUAAAUGGAGCAGGGAGUUAAGGAGGCUUAAGGGGAUUAUUAUCUCUUAGGCAUUUUAACUGGCACUAUUAACUUUGUUUUAAAACAAUGUGCUCCCAAGUAGCCAAAAAAUAAAUAAAUAAAUAAAAUGUCAAAAGGAAGAACUGACAUGCUGAAGUCCACCUCUAAACUGACAUGCUAAAGCCCAGGCAGGCAGACUGCCCUCCCCAGUGGCUGGCAGCUUCUAGGCCACACAUAAACAAAUGUCUCCGACAGAUGCUAGCACACACUAACAAAGCAGGGAAGUGGAGACCCCGGUUUAUCCUAAAAGCCUACGUGCUACAGAUAAAGCCACCCUUGAGAGGGGUGACGUGCACCAGCCUGCCAUAUAGAAAUGCCCACUUCCUCCCAUUUCUGAAUCUAUCUCCAAGCUGAGCCAGUGAAGAAACUGCAGGAAGGUCACAGGCCAGUCAACAUAGCCAUGUUAGUCCCAUACUACAGAAGUCUGGCAGCUGUGCUCUUCUCCACUAAAUCCAAACAUUUUCUCAGUGUGUGCCUAUUAAAAUACAAUUAGUCAGAGGUGCAGAAGAUGCUGCUGGCCCAAGUUGACAAAGGGAAGCCUCAGUAAGUUUCUUGCCAGGAGACAACUGAAUUCCCAUGGCAGGAUGCCUAUCUACCUGCAUCCUCGAGAAACUCUAUCUAUAGAUUGUACCUUGCUAACCUUUCUAUCCCAGCCAGCACUUGGCUCUCGAGAAGCGGUCAGCAAGUUUGUUGGUGGGAAAUAAGCCCAGGAAGCCGAGAAAUGAAUCUCAGUGCCUCUAGGAGCAGAAUAAACGGCUGCUUUUAGUACUUGAUGUUCAUUUUGUACUGUUAGUACCUUUGUCAAAGAGGCCUAGAUCUUAACUCUUAUCAGGACCCAGGUAACGCCUCUCCAGGAAAACAAGUUUGAACUGGCGAUCAGCAUGCUCAAGUCUUAACGAAGGUAAGCACCCCUCCUCACCCACUCUCCCACAGCCCUUCAGGAAGCCGCUACAGCAAGUCAAGCGCAACUGGCUUUCAUUGGCUGUCUCCGGCUGUGUUCCUCCCCUUUCUCUGGGUUCUACCAUGUUUCCAACUCUUUCCCAGCCUCUGCUGGUUUUUCUUUUUUCCCACUCUAUCUUCCCUUUUCAGCUCCUCUUCGGCUGGUGAAACCAUCCUGUACUGCUUCAGGACUCAGUGACAUUAGACUUUCACUGCCUCCCAGCCCAGCCUUUGCUGGGCUUUCAAACUUCAGCAGCCUCUUCGCCCAGAAAAGCAGCAGACUGUGUUGAUCUUACAAGAGAUUUUUGCCUGACUUUUUCCUCUUUUUUUCUUUCUCUCUUUCUUUCCAUACUGUCUCACUGUGUAUCCCAGACUAGCCUCAAUCUCUCAUUUCCCUCUGCAUUAAUCUCCCAAAUGCUGUGAUUUUUUUAGGUGACUCUCGUAGUUUACAUUAAAAAUUUGAGUAAAUAUAUUUUUAAAUAUUUCUCCCCCACCCAAUAGAAUAUUUAUGUUUUAUUAACAUAAUGGGUUUCAUCUUAGCACCCCUACACAUUCAUGUAAUGAAUUUUGGUAAUACACACCCACUAUUCUUUCUUCUCCUGUCCUGGGUUUGCUACAUCCCCAGUAUCCCCCACCUAUUUUUAUUUUGUGUCCUUUAUUCACCCCUUAAAUUCCACAUGAAAGGAAAAUAACUGGGAUACUUUCUUCGUGAGACUGAGUUAUUUCUCUAAGCUUGGUCAUCUCCAGCCCCAUUUUUUUUUUUCUUUGUCUGAACAGGAAUCUACUGAACAUUUUCUUGAUGUGUUGAUGACCAAUGGGCUAAUGUCAUAGCAUAGCAUAACGUAGCUCUCCUGAGCAGUGCGACAGGAAGCAGCGGCAUACAGGUACGCCUAUGCCGAAGGCAACUUUUCAAUGAGUGACAUUUGGUUUUUGGAAUUCUAUAAAGAGGAGUCCGGAAUAAUAAGAAGUCCUAUAAAGCCAAAACACAGUCCUCAUGAGUACUUGAUUUCUGCUACCUUCUAGAGGCAUGCUGCUCCAAAUGGCUGGGUGAUUACAUACCCACUCAUGUAUUUCCCCUCAAUGUUUAUCUUGGAAAGAUGGCAAGUUAUUUUGAAAGAAAGGAAGAAAAAACAGACUGCAGAGGAAACAGAAUGGCCCUGCAUCUCAUAGGGCAAUGGAUUACUAAAAUUACCCCAACUUCACGGAAGAGAACUGAAUUCAUUUGCACAUUUUCUUAAGAUUCAUGUGAGUUACAGUAAGACCACACACUAUAAUAUUGAGGAAAAAUGAAGACCAGACAUCAAUAAUCAUCAUCUUAAAAUUGAGAUAUUUUCCCUAGAGCACAAAACUGGUCAUGGAAGGAACAAGCCCAGAGUGAUGGGAGACUGUUGUAAUCCGUGACCUCUUCUAAGAUACCCGGAACUUUCCUUUGUUGUCCAGACCUUGUACGAACACUCUGCAAGUCAGGCACUUCUGGCUUACACCCAAUUUAAACAUGGCUCAAUCUCAUGAUACGCCAAAUCGUUAUCAGACGACCCGUGCUCACACACAAACACAGCCACUAUCAGCCAUAGACAGGCCAUAAUCUGGCAAAAUCUGUACAGAACAGAAAUAAACACAAUGCGUGGUGUGUAUUAAUAAA